UUCCUAAUCUUUUCUUAAUUUUCUUCUCAAGGAAAUCUAGCUUCUCAGCCUUUCUUAAUUUUCUUUACAAGAAAAUCUAGCACUCCAUAUCUCUCUUGAUUUUCUUCUCAAGAAAAUCAAACACUCCCUUUUUCCUUUUCUUUUAGCAUGUGCCCAAUUUUUGGGUGGGUAAGAAGGGACAUCCAUGUGGUCAACUUUUUCGGGCGUGCAAAGAAAGAGAGAGGGGG
rnacentral:lncRNA from 1 species